rnacentral:rRNA from 1 species
UUAGCGUCUGAGGAUGGGUCUGCGGCCGAUUAGGUAGUUGCUGGGGUAACGUCCCAACAAGCCGAUAAUCGGUACGGGUUGUGAGAGCAAGAGCCCGGAGAUGGAUUCUGAGACACGAAUCCAGGCCCUACGGGGCGCAGCAGGCGCGAAAACUUUACACUGCGCGAAAGCGCGAUAAGGGGACCUCGAGUGCGUGCGCAAUGCGUACGCUUUUCAGAUGCCUAAAAAGCAUGUGGAAUAAGGGCCGGGCAAGACCGGUGCCAGCCGCCGCGGUAACACCGGCGGCUCAAGUGGUGGCCGCUAUUAUUGGGCUUAAAGGGUCCGUAGCCGGACCAGUUAGUCCCUUGGGAAAUCUUACGGCUUAACCGUAAGGCUGCCAAUGGAUACUGCUGGUCUUGGGACCGGGAGAGGUAAGAGGUACUUCAGGGGUAGGAGUGAAAUCCUGUAAUCCUUGAGGGACCGCCAGUGGCGAAGGCGUCUUACUAGAACGGGUCCGACGGUGAGGGACGAAAGCUAGGGGCACGCACCGGAUUAGAUACCCGGGUAGUCCUAGCCGUAAACGAUGCGAGCUAGGUGUCACGUGGAUUGCGAAUCCAUGUGGUGCCGAAGGGAAACCGUGAAGCUCGCCGCCUGGGAAGUACGGCCGCAAG